GAUUCCCCUGUGACGAUGGUACCGAUGCUGGGCUCGGCGCUUGUGCUGGUUUUUGUUUCAGGCGCUUCGGGCAGAGCCGAGAUCCGGCAGCCGCGCUCCGCAGAGCACUCGGAGGGAGCCGAACUGAACCUCACAGGCUCUCUCGGGUCUAUCAUCACUGAAACUAUAGUUUGGUACCAGCGGCUCCCGAACCGAGGGCCCCGGUAUAUAGUCUCGGGGUACCAGGGAAUCUUUAAUAGCAUCAACCCAGAGGGAGCUCUGCAUAUUCCUGAAGGCAGAAAAUCCAGCACAUUGUCCCUGCGCAGGGCGAGGCUGGCAGAUGCAGCGGUGUAUUAUUGUGCUCUGAGCGACACAGUGUGACAGCCAGGGGCGGCCUCCGCACAUGG